rnacentral:rRNA from 1 species
CUGGCUCAGGAUGAACGCUAGCUACAGGCUUAACACAUGCAAGUCGAGGGGCAGCAUUGGGAUAGCUUGCUAUUCAGAUGGCGACCGGCGCACGGGUGAGUAACGCGUAUCCAACCUUCCUGCCAGUAGGGAACAGCCCGGCGAGAGUCGGAUUAAUGCCCUAUGUUCUUCAAUGCGGACAUCUAAGUUGAAGGAAAGAUUCAUCGCUGGCAGAUGGGGAUGCGUCCGAUUAGCUUGCCGGCGGGUAACGGCCCACCGGGGCGACGAUCGGUAGGGGUUCUGAGAGGAAGGUCCCCCACACUGGUACUGAGACACGGACCAGACUCCUACGGGAGGCAGCAGUGAGGAAUAUUGGUCAAUGGGCGUAAGCCUGAACCAGCCAAGUAGCGUGCAGGAAUGACGGCCCUACGGGUUGUAAACUGCUUUUAUGCGGGGAUAAAGUGCGGCACGUGUGCCGCUUUGCAGGUACCGCAUGAAUAAGGACCGGCUAAUUCCGUGCCAGCAGCCGC